UCUUCUUUGCUAUAGAGGAGUUCAUCGAUUUCAGAAUGAAGCUUUGUGAGUCUCCUGGAUUUUUCUGUUGGGGGGAAGUAGAUAUCCAUGUCGGCUCCAGGUGAUACGAUGUUGAACUUGGGAUCAAACACAUUGAUUCCUUGAACAACUCUGUACAACCCUGGCAUUGUGAACCCAAUAUGUGUCUCGUACUGUCCGACACUAUCAUUGCUUCCAGCAAUUUCUUGGAAAGUGCUUGUGAUGAUGAAAUCAGUUUUGUUCAUGGCGUAUACGUCGGCGGUGAAUUGACUUGAGAAGUGGUAAUGAUCAUCUUUUUGUUUCCAGUACAAAUCUGAAUUGGGGUACUUGGUUUUCUCCAGUGCAUGAGCGAUCGUACAUUGAGUAACAUUCAUUUUAUCGGCCAUGAUCGACGCAACCAAAUUUCCAUCACUGUAGUUUCCGAUGAUCAAAUCUGGGGUCGCACCAAGCUCCUCAGUAACUUCUUUGAUGCAAUCAUUUGCAUAUGUCUCAAGGUAAGGCCACACAUCAAAUCUCGAUAUCCAUUUGCGAAGAACUACUCCUUCUUUGGUUCGGAAUGGGAUACGGAUAAUAUUUGUAUGUUUCGUUUCUUCAACUGGUUCCAUUCUUUCUCCACAGGUUGUUCCAACUGCAUCAGGUAACAUUCGGGUGACGAUAAGAAUCUUAGGGAUGAUAUCUAAUCCUUGCUCUUUAAUCCUCAGAAGCAUCUCCUUUUCC
rnacentral:lncRNA from 1 species